AGGGUUCGAUUCUGGCUCAGGAUGAACGCUGGCGGCGUGCCUAACACAUGCAAGUCGAGCGAUUCUCUUCGGAGAAGAGCGGCGGACGGGUGAGUAACGCGUGGGUAACCUGCCUCAUACACAUGGAUAACAUACCGAAAGGUAUGCUAAUACAGGAUAAUAUAAGAAAUUCACAUGGAUUUCUUAUCAAAGCUCCGGCGGUAUGAGAUGGACCCGCGUCUGAUUAGCUAGUUGGUAAGGUAACGGCUUACCAAGGCGACGAUCAGUAGCCGACCUGAGAGGGUGAUCGGCCACAUUGGAACUGAGACACGGUCCAAACUCCUACGGGAGGCAGCAGUGGGGAAUAUUGCACAAUGGGCGAAAGCCUGAUGCAGCAACGCCGCGUGAGUGAUGAAGGCCUUCGGGUACGUAAAACUCUGUCCUCAAGGAAGAUAAUGACGGUACUUGAGGAGGAACGCCCGGCUAACUACGUGCCAGCCGCCGC
rnacentral:rRNA from 1 species